rnacentral:rRNA from 1 species
CCUACGGGAGGCAGCAGUGGGGAAUAUUGCACAAUGGGGGAAACCCUGAUGCAGCGACGCCGCGUGAGUGAAGAAGUAUUUCGGUACGUAAAGCUCUAUCAGCAGGGAAGAAAAUGACGGUACCUGACUAAGAAGCCCCGGCUAACUACGUGCCAGCAGCCGCGGUAAUACGUAGGGGGCAAGCGUUAUCCGGAUUUACUGGGUGUAAAGGGAGCGUAGACGGCAGAGCAAGUCUGAAGUGAAAUCCCACGGCUUAACCAGGGAACUGCUUUGGAAACUGUGCAGCUGGAGUGCAGGAGAGGUAAGCGGAAUUCCUAGUGUAGCGGUGAAAUGCGUAGAUAUUAGGAGGAACACCAGUGGCGAAGGCGGCUUACUGGACUGUAACUGACGUUGAGGCUCGAAAGCGUGGGGAGCAAACAGGAUUAGAUACCCGAGUAGUC